UCGAACGAAGAACAUGUUUGCGUGCUGCAUCCCCAAGUCCGGAGGCUGCAGGCUGAGGAGAGUGCACCCUGCAAACACUUCCCCUUGCUGGGGAUGUGCCAGGGCUCCCCGACGCCUCUGGGCAUUUGGCAGGAAGGACCGAAAGGCCACGGAUGAGAUUGGAAAGAGGCUGGCAGACAACCGCCCCAUGUCCCUGGCAGAGGGAGUCCCCUCACAGUGGUCUCCAGAAGCAGGGACUGGGGACUGCCCGGGAUGGCCUUUAACACCGCCCAGGCCACUGUCCCUGGUGGUCCCUCAUCUCACUGCGGUCCAAGAGCCGGAGCCCACGGAGGCCGAGCCUGAGGCUGCUCCACCAUCUGAGGAACUAAAGCCGGCUCCAAGUUCAUGGGCAGGGGUGGUACCUGCAGCGACGCCAGCAGGAGACCAGGAGCCAGCAGGGGACCUGGCACCUGCCCACGGAGAGCCUGCCACCGCCACUGCUCCUGCCCCUUCCCCUGCCUGUGCUCCUGUUCUUGCCCCUGACCCAGCUCCUGCCCUGGGUCCUGCACCUGCCACUGUUGCUGACCCUGUCCCUCCCCUUGAUCCUGCCCCUGUCCCCGCUCUUGCACCUGUCCCUGCCCCUAUCCCCAGCCCU